rnacentral:rRNA from 1 species
UACGUAGGGUGCGAGCGUUAAUCGGAAUUACUGGGCGUAAAGCGUGCGCAGGCGGUUUUGUAAGCCAGAUGUGAAAUCCCCGGGCUUAACCUGGGAAUGGCAUUUGGGACUGCAAAGCUUGAGUGCGGCAGAGGGGACUGGGAAUUCCUGGUGUAGCAGUGAAAUGCGUAGAGAUCAGGAGGAAUACCGAUGGCGAAGGCAGGUCCCUGGGCUGACACUGACGCUCAUGCACGAAAGCGUGGGGAGCAAACAGG